rnacentral:rRNA from 1 species
CCUACGGGGAGGCAGCAGUGGGGAAUUUUGGACAAUGGGNGAAAGCCUGAUCCAGCAAUGCCGCGUGCAGGAAGAAGGCCUUCGGGUUGUAAACUGCUUUUGUACGGAACGAAACGGUCUGNUUUAAUACGGUGGGCUAAUGACGGUACCGUAAGAAUAAGCACCGGCUAACUACGUGCCAGCAGCCGCGGUAAUACGUAGGGUGCGAGCGUUAAUCGGAAUUACUGGGCGUAAAGCGUGCGCAGGCGGUUAUAUAAGACAGAUGUGAAAUCCCCGGGCUCAACCUGGGACCUGCAUUUGUGACUGCAUAGCUAGAGUACGGUAGAGGGGGAUGGAAUUCCGCGUGUAGCAGUGAAAUGCGUAGAUAUGCGGAGGAACACCGAUGGCGAAGGCAAUCCCCUGGACCUGUACUGACGCUCAUGCACGAAAGCGUGGGGAGCAAACAGGAUUAGAUACCCUGGUAGUCCACGCCCUAAACGAUGUCAACUGGUUGUUGGGUC